CAAAAGUCUGGCCCAGGGAAGUCCUGCCUUCGACCUUCAACGUGGCUGGUCUAGUCUCAGGUUCCUGGAAGGAGGGAGAAAGGGAGGGCGGUGAAACCUGAGAAAGGAACAGAGGGAGGCUAGCCGGGCCUUCCUUCUGAGGCUUCUUAUCUUCCCCACAUUGGAACAAGAAGAGAAAUCUUCAAGAAUAUCUCCCCUUUUCAUCUCUUCCUUGUGGUUGGUUGUUGAAAGCCACGCAUCUUGUUCAGAGCAGCUGUUCACAGAGAGGUCCCACUGUUCUUCAGAUAGUUAGGACUCUGACACCAUCAGCACACAGACAAAAGACAGACAGAAACAGCUCACAGAAGGAAGCAGGCCAUAGCCUCCGCCCAGAGUGGGAAUUAAAUGUUUUCUUCCUGAAAGCAGAAAGGAAAACCACGAUUAAAGCCAAGCUGUGACUCGAAGUCUACGACUCCAUGACAGC
rnacentral:lncRNA from 1 species